rnacentral:rRNA from 1 species
GGGGAAUAUUGCACAAUGGGCGCAAGCCUGAUGCAGCCAUGCCGCGUGUGUGAAGAAGGCCUUCGGGUUGUAAAGCACUUUCAGCGAGGAGGAAGGUGGUGAGCUUAAUACGCUCAUCAAUUGACGUUACUCGCAGAAGAAGCACCGGCUAACUCCGUG